AUGGAGGAUGCAAGGAACAAGUUCACGCAACCGGAUGAAGAUACACCCUUUGGACGUCACUUGAAGGAAGUCACUAGAUACAUGAAUAUAGGAAUACCAAGCUUCACCGGAACCUACAACGCCACUUUACCUGAAGAAGAGCGCUGGAUGAUUCAAGUUCAAGUUCUAGGAAGGACGUUCAUGCCAGUCACUGAGCCCAUAGAGUUUUCUUUUGAUGCACCAACUUGGAGUCUAGGAAAGAGCACGGCAGCUCACAUCGCCAUGGGAUGCAUUGGAGAAGUCUACUGCAAGGAUAUCAAGGAUACUAUCUACCAGAUUUGUGGGCGCCGAGAUGAACACUGGGAGAUGAUCAGCACCAGGAAGGAUAGAUCAAUCGCAGCUUUUAUCCAGGAGUUAAACCAGCACAUUCGACGAUAG
rnacentral:rRNA from 1 species